UGGGGAAUAUUGCACAAUGGGGGAAACCCGUGAUGCAGCGACGCCGCGUGAGCGAGGAAGUAUUUCGGUAUGUAAAGCUCUAUCAGCAGGGAAGAAAAAUGACGGUACCUGACUAAGAAGCCCCGGCUAACUACGUGCC
rnacentral:rRNA from 1 species